AUAAUAAAUAUUAACUAUGUUCAGAAAGAAGUAUAUAGAAUAAUACACUUGUGUAGGCAAAAUAAUGGCCCCCGAAGACUUCAGUGUCCUAAUGCCCAGGCCCUGUAGUUAGAUGGCAAGUUGAAUUAAGGUUACUAAUUAGCUGACUUAAAACAGGAAAAAUAUCCUGGGUUAUCUGGGAAGGCCCAAUGUAAUUACAAGGGUUCUUAAAAGUGGAAGAGGAAGCCAGAAAAAGCUAAUCAAAGAAAAAGAUGUGUUGAUGAAGAAGCCAGCUAUGUUGCUGGCUUUAAAGAUGGCUGAAGGGGGCCAUGAACCAAGGAAUGUGUUCUGCCUCCAGAAGCCUGAAAAGGACAGGAAAUGGACUCUCCCCUAGACUCUCCAGAAGGGGCACAUGCCUGCCAGUACCUCAAUUUGAAGGGUUUCAAAGUACACAUGACUUAUUCUCAACACAUUCCUGAAAUCAGCAGCAACCUCUGGAAAGCCCACCUCUUCUCUACAUACCACUUCUUCAACAGAGUCACAACCAUUGUUCCAGAAGCUCCAUUGUAAGAGUUUACACCUGCCUGUCGUUCAUAAAGAUGUUUGACACUCUCAGAAACCAUUCCAUCACCUGCUGCCAGCUGGACCAGUGGAUCUUGGUGCUGCCAGAAAUCGGAACCAUGUGCUGAUUACUCACUCUGAGCGCCACUCCUGUUACCAGAAACCCUGCUUUCUGCCCAGGCCCAGCCCACACCGUGACGGGUUCACACACACACGAUGAGGAUCCCAGCCCAUAUGUUCAAGCUCUGGCGACAUCACCACCGCCUUUUGGCCACCACUUGGGCUGCUGGUGCCACACCAGCGGCACAGUCGGCCCUUUGAAGGGUAGAUCAAGAUUAGAGGCCCACACCAGUCCUGGAAGCAGGGCUUUGGGCAAGAAUUCUGGGGGCUGGGAACCCAGAGUGUGACCUAAUAGGGGAGGCAUGGCUCUGAGUAAAAAAUCCAUCUGGCCUGUGGACUCCUUGCCCUGCCAGGAGGAGUGACCAGAAAAGGGCAGGGGUAGGGGUCUCUAAAGAGUGGUCCCCAGGAGAAGAGUUAUGCUUGCCAAGACCUAAGAGCUAAUAUAUCUGGCCAAAUAAUAAAUAAGCCAAAAGCAUGAGUUAAUGCUGGAACCUGCACAGAUCUGGAUAGCCGUAAGUAAUUGUUCAACUAUAAAACACAGAGGCACAAGAUGUUUCAAGUGGUUUGUCUGCUGCCUCUCAUAGAAAACUUACUCAUUCUGGGCAGUAGGCAUGGUCUCUGGUAGGUAUAAGGGCUAGAAAUUAAAUGAAUAAACUCUGUACUUAAAUAUUUAACUGGAGAGGUUGCAUUCCCAUAA